GGCCAUAUGAUGUUGAAACUCUGGUUCUCAUAUAAUCACCAAAGUUAAGCAAUGUCAACCUUGGUCAGUACUAAGAUGGGUGACUGUUUAGGAAAACCAGGUGCUGUAAG